AGCCCCGUAGUCUAGCGGCCAAGGAUGCGAGCCUCUGGAGCUCGAGACAUCGGUUCAAAUCCGAUCGGGGCUA
rnacentral:tRNA from 1 species